rnacentral:rRNA from 1 species
CAGUCGCCGCGGGAAAACGGAGGGGGCUAGCGUUGUUCGGAAUUACUGGGCGUAAAGCGCACGUAGGCGGCUUGGUAAGUUAGAGGUGAAAGCCCGGAGCUCAACUCCGGAAUUGCCUUUAAGACUGCCGAGCUAGUAGGUGAGAGAGGUAAGUGGAAUUCCGAGUGUAGAGGUGAAAUUCGUAGAUAUUCGGAAGAACACCAGUGGCGAAGGCGGCUUACUGGCUCAUUCUAGACGCUGAGGUGCGAAAGCGUGGGGAGCAAACAGGAUUAGAUACCCCUGUAGUCCCUGUCUCUUAUAC